AGAGAGGUUGUGCAUUCUCCUUCCUUGGGAGUUCUUCAAGAUUCUCUGUUCUGACCCUCCAUGUGGCCUUGCUUGGAGCAGCAGGCCUGUCCAUGGAUGACAAGAAAAAGCAGAGUGCUGAGAUGUCCUUGGCGAGCCUGAGAUGUGCCUGGCGAGCUCCUGGUUUGGGAUGUCCCUGGGUGAGGAUGCUGAACUCAUAAGCAAAUGACAUUACAGCCCUGAAAGUGAUUGACAUGGUGGUCUGUGCUUCCAAGGAGAAUAUCUCCUCAGUUUUCUUUUCUUUAGCAGCCUGCUGGACACCUUUGUGGAGGUUCAGAACACUUCUAUUUCCAGCAAAGUGGAGUAGCAACAGCUGUAUUUUUCUGGCAAUCCUAAUAACCUGCUCCAAGUUGCAGGAGGUGGAACUCAAAAAGUUAUCGGAGAAUCGAAGCCAUGGCAUUUCCUAUAUUUCACAUCAUUUGAAUAUGAAUAAUGAAAUUCAGCAGUCAUCACUCUUCAUGUUUAAAAAGUGUAUGUGAGCAGGUGUUCAAAAAACCCAAUCAAUGCCAGCACGCUGAGCCCACCGAGAGGGCAGACAAGAGCCUGUUCAAAUACAAAGCACCUACAUGAGAAGUCUGCUCAGAAUCAGAAGGGUUAGAAUCUGCUUUGGAGUAAUUACUACUGCUCAUCUCAAAAGCAAAAAUGCCAUCAGACAUUCAUGGCUCAGGUAGAUGCCAGAAGAGAAAUAUGUCCUAAAGUACCAAUCACUGAAAGCCAUGUUGGAGAGUUCCUUCACUACUAAAUGCAUUUGACACUAAUUGCUGUUUAUUGAAGGACCUGAGUGAAACAUCACAGAUAUAUAUCUGGAUACUCCCUGCAGCUGUUUCAGUUUUCUGUGUUUCUCACUGUUGGUACCCCACUUCCUAGGACCAGGUCUCUUGUGGCUGGCUCCUCUGCCUGCACAGGGGUGUGGCAAAGAGGGGGCUGCUGUUUCUUACCCAACACAACAAUGAAAACAGGAAGCUUGAAUGUGUUCAUUUUUCACCUGUCUGCUUGUUGAAAAAAAAAAAAUCAAAGCUCCAUACUGGUUCUUCCUCUACUGAUAUUUGAAAUUAUUUUAAUCUUAGCUAAUAUUGUAAGCUCUUUUUUUUAAAAUUAUAUUUCAUUUAACCGAGUUAUCUGCAAU